rnacentral:rRNA from 1 species
UACGGGGGGGGCAAGCGUUGUUCGGAAUUACUGGGCGUAAAGGGCUCGUAGGCGGCCAACUAAGUCCGACGUGAAAUCCCCAGGCUUAACCUGGGAACUGCGUCGGAUACUGGAUGGCUUGAAUUCGGGAGAGGGAUGCAGAAUUCCAGGUGUAGCGGUGAAAUUCGUAGAUAUUCGGAAGAACACCAGUGGCGAAGGCGACUUACUGGACACAUAUUGACGCUGAGGUGCGAAAGCGUGGGGAGCAAACAGG